AUGGCGACCGGCGCACGGGUGAGUAACACGUAUCCAACCUGCCGAUGACUCGGGGAUAGCCUUUCGAAAGAAAGAUUAAUACCCGAUGGCAUAGUUCUUCCGCAUGGUAGAACUAUUAAAGAAUUUCGGUCAUCGAUGGGGAUGCGUUCCAUUAGCUUGUUGGCGGGGUAACGGCCCACCAAGGCAUCGAUGGAUAGGGGUUCUGAGAGGAAGGUCCCCCACAUUGGAACUGAGACAUGGUCCAAACUCCUACGGAAGGCAGCAG
rnacentral:rRNA from 1 species